CCUACGGGGGGCAGCAGUGGGGAAUAUUGGGCAAUGGGGGAAACCCUGACCCAGCGACGCCGCGUGAGGGAAGACAGCCUUCGGGUUUUAAACCUCUUUUGUACGGGAAGAUAAUGACGGUACUGUACGAAUAAGUCCCGGCUAACUACGUGCCAGCAGCCGCGGUAAUACGUAGGGGACGAGCGUUGUCCGGAAUUACUGGGCGUAAAGGGCGCGCAGGCUGCGUUACAAGUCAGCUGUUAAAUGCAUGGGCUUACCCCAUGAGUGCGGUUGAAACUGUAGUGCUAGAGUACUGUAGAGGCAAGCGGAAUUCCCAGUGUAGCGGUGAAAUGCGUAGAUAUUGGGAGGAACACCGGUGGCGUAGGCGGCUUGCUGGACAGUAACUGACGCUGAGGCGCGAAAGCCAGGGGAGCAAACGGGCUUAGAUACCCCAGUAGUC
rnacentral:rRNA from 1 species